CUGCGCCAUCCUAGGAAAGUAAAUUGGCGGACCGUUGACGACGAAACGAACGUACGUACGUUGUCAACUGCUACCAGCUAAUAUUACAGUUAUUUAGCGUUAACUUGUCAUAUAACCGCUGUACUCAAGAGACUGAAGAGUAGUUAAACAUUUAAUUUUCUUGUGGAUUUAUUCAGUCAGUAGCCGAAAUAGGAGUUGUCAAGGUUUGGGGUGUUUUGCUAGCUGGCUAGCAUUGACGUUAAUAAGCAAGACAUUAACAGUUAAUGACAGGUCCAAAAUAACCCUUGAAGGAGGCGUUUUCUCCCCCAGCAAAUCUCCCCGGAAAAAAAGGGCUUACCUACAACAGAAAGCAUGACAGAGACUGAAGUUCAAGUUGAGGUUCAGCUCACCGCAGAAUCACCGCCAGGACAACCGGUGCUGCAGGAGGACACGGGUGGUGAGAGGGAGUCACACAGCCCGGAGGGCCCUCCAAACACCGGACACGGAGGUUCAAUGACAUGUCCUACUACAACCUACGAAAACACGGAGGUGGAGGAGCCACUAGCAUUGUUGGCUGGUUUUACUCUGGCGCCAUGGUGUGGUGAUGAAGCAGCGUGCAGCUGUGACUGCGAGGCCCGCAGCUACCUGGAGGUCAGACUGAUGGAGAGGAACCUGCAGUCCAUGCAGCUAAAGCUCCAGGUCCUCAUGAGCAAAGUAGACGACUUGCACAACUGUCUCAUCAAUGGGCUGAGUCAUCAAGACAGAGGGUCUCUGGUUGCCGCUGUGCCAAGUUUCCUGUACACCUGUCAGGCUUACUUUAAUGACGUGGAAUCAACAGCUCGGAGAAGCGUUCCCCCACACACCCCGCUGCCCUUUGACAUAUUCACAAAGCGCGUGCAGCUGUUAGACCUCUCUCAACAGCUGUGUGACAGUUUGGAGCAGCUGGUGUUGACCUACGCCAGCUACAAUCUCCUCUGUUUGGACGAGACUGAACCGAGCAGCAUGUCUCACUUCUGCAUCGGCCAGAGUCAGCUCGGCCGACUGAGGCUAACUGCGUUCCGCUACUGUAAGCCGACGCCGUACCUGGCCCGGGUCGACACCGGACUGUACAAAUGCAUGCGAUGGAACGUGGAGAGACUCCGAGACGAGCAGCAGACGGAUGAAGGGAAGGGUGGAGAGACGGAGGAGAGAGGCGCGGAGACAGUCGGAGAAACAGAGUAUUACUUCCUGUGCUGCGAGGACAUUCCCAACGUACACGCAGAGGCCGACAGAGAUCGCCACGGUAACGUGGUGAGGAUGUGGUCCAUCGGUCAGUGGGUGCAGGUGAACCCUGACCCUGACACAGAUGACAUCUACGACUGUGUGUUUUGUUUCAGGAUCAUGUGUGAGGUUCCUCUGGCCAACUAUCACAGGCUGUUGUUUCUGGGCAGCGAUGAGCCGUCGAGCUGCAGCGCCACAGACUUCCUGCAGCAGCUGCUGAUGUCGUGGCAGACAACAGAGUGAUGCUACACCCUGCAGGAGAACAAGUGUGCUUGUGGAUACAGUUUCUGUUCAGGUUACAACUCUCUUGAAGAUGCCUCUCACACUUUGGAUCAGGAGCACACAUCACCAUAAAGAUGUGACUUCAUUCAUUCAUGACCUGUUAGUUCAAACAUGGUGUUGUGUGUUUUACAACCUUCAACACGGACCGGUGUUGGUAUUUUCUAAGAUAGUUAUACUGUCAGUUGGAUUAUGUAACAAUCAUUUUAUGCUGGUCACUGUGAUGUUUGCUUCACUUUAUUCAGUUCAGUGUGUUUGUAUAUUUUAAGAGCUUUGAUAAGAGUUUGCCAGUAUUUUGUAGAGAUUUAACAUUUUUAUAAGUUUUUAUAUUAUUUAAGAUUGUUUGUGUUGUUGUAAAGAAGUCCAGAAGCAUUAUUAAAAAAAAA